CAACAUGAGAGAGAUUUCCAGCUGCAACUGCAGCCACUUCUCAGACAACACAUCGUACGGGUGACUACUCUUUACUCCAAUAAAUAGCAGCUACAUUGGAUAGAACGAGAGACAGCUGUCAUGGAUGAAUUUGGAUCAGAUGAAUGUAACCUAAAGGUCCAGUGGAGAUCACCUUGAGGAGAAUCAUCACGGCUACAUGCAAUGCAUUUGAAGCUGACUCCCUGACCACCUUUAACAGCAUGAACUUCAGAAACGCCUCUGCCAGCUCCAGCUUCCUCAUCUGAAACAGGCUGCUAUGAGAAUUAAGUGAUAUGUAGAUGCAAAGCAUGAGGCCUACAAUCCCAAUACUUGAAAAAUGUUCACGGUGACUACAUCCAGCCUACUGGACUACCUAUGGAGAGAAGUCAACUAACAACACAUAAAAAUCCCCACCAGUGAAGGAAAGGCAUGAAAACCCACAUGGAGAAGAUGAAAAUGCUGGACAACUGGAUGCCAGCCCCAGGGCCCUGGUCCACAUGCUCAGGGAAAGUACUGCAGCCCCAGGAGAGGCCAUCUAUCUCCCAAGUAAGCCAACUUUCUAACCUGGCACUCUAGAGCAUCAUAUGUGAGUCACCCCAACCUCAGAGCCUGGGCCCAGCGAGAAAGAGGUCUGCUUCCAGGGAGCAGGAGGACAGGACAAGUUUCCGGAAACGCCUGCCUACGGGUGCUGGGAUCCUUGCUCCACCUCUUCCCGACCCCUGGAGGGUCAGGUCUUCUCUGGAGGUUCCACAGGGCACAGA